UACAGAGGGUGCAAGCGUUAAUCGGAAUUACUGGGCGUAAAGCGUGCGUAGACGGUCAUGUAAGUCGGGUGUGAAAGCCCCGGGCUCAACCUGGGAAUUGCAUUCGAGACUGCAUGGCUAGGAUGCGGAAGAGGGAAGCGGAAUUUCCGGUGUAGCGGUGAAAUGCGUAGAUAUCAGGAGGAACACCGGUGGCGAAGGCGCACAUCUGGCCCGAUACUGACGCUGAAGCGCGAAAGCUAGGGGAGCAAACGGG
rnacentral:rRNA from 1 species